rnacentral:rRNA from 1 species
CUACGGGGGGCAGCAGUGGAGAAUAUUGCACAAUGGGCGCAAGCCUGAUGCAGCCAUGCCGCGUGUAUGAAGAAGGCCUUCGGGUUGUAAAGUACUUUCAGCGGGGAGGAAGGGAGUAAAGUUAAUACCUUUGCUCAUUGACGUUACCCGCAGAAGAAGCACCGGCUAACUCCGUGCCAGCAGCCGCGGUAAUACGGAGGGUGCAAGCGUUAAUCGGAAUUACUGGGCGUAAAGCGCACGCAGGCGGUUUGUUAUGUCAGAUGUGAAAUCCCCGGGCUCAACCUGGGAACUGCAUCUGAUACUGGCAAGCUUGAGUCUCGUAGAGGGGGGUAGAAUUCCAGGUGUAGCGGUGAAAUGCGUAGAGAUCUGGAGGAAUACCGGUGGCGAAGGCGGCCCCCUGGACGAAGACUGACGCUCAGGUGCGAAAGCGUGGGGAGCAAACAGGAUUAGAUACCCGGGUAGUC